GAUGAACGCUGGCGGCGUGCCUAAUACAUGCAAGUCGAGCGAACAGACGAGGAGCUUGCUCCUCUGACGUUAGCGGCGGACGGGUGAGUAACACGUGGAUAACCUACCUAUAAGACUGGGAUAACUUCGGGAAACCGGAGCUAAUACCGGAUAAUAUAUUGAACCGCAUGGUUCAAUAGUGAAAGACGGUUUUGCUGUCACUUAUAGAUGGAUCCGCGCCGCAUUAGCUAGUUGGUAAGGUAACGGCUUACCAAGGCAACGAUGCGUAGCCGACCUGAGAGGGUGAUCGGCCACACUGGAACUGAGACACGGUCCAGACUCCUACGGGAGGCAGCAGUAGGGAAUCUUCCGCAAUGGGCGAAAGCCUGCCGGAGCAACGCCGCGUGAGUGAUGAAGGUCUUCGGAUCGUAAAACUCUGUUAUUAGGGAAGAACAAAUGUGUAAGUAACUAUGCACGUCUUGACGGUACCUAAUCAGAAAGCCACGGCUAACUACGUG
rnacentral:rRNA from 1 species